UUGCCCUACGGGACGCAGCAGUGAGGAAUAUUGGUCAAUGGUCGGGAGACUGAACCAGCCAAGCCGCGUGAGGGAGGAAGGUACAGAGUAUCGUAAACCUCUUUUGUCAGGGAACAAAGACUGGGACGCGUCCCCGGAUGAGUGUACCUGAAGAAAAAGCAUCGGCUAACUCCGUGCCAGCAGCCGCGGUAAUACGGAGGAUGCGAGCGUUAUCCGGAUUUACUGGGUGUAAAGGGAGCGUAGACGGCAGCACAAGUCUGGAGUGAAAUCCCGGGGCUUAACCCCGGAACUGCUUUGGAAACUGU
rnacentral:rRNA from 1 species